rnacentral:rRNA from 1 species
UACAGAGGUCUCAAGCGUUGUUCGGAUUCAUUGGGCGUAAAGGGCCAGUAGGCGGCCAACUAAGUCCGACGUGAAAUCCCCAGGCUUAACCUGGGAACUGCGUCGGAUACUGGAUGGCUUGAAUUCGGGAGAGGGAUGCAGAAUUCCAGGUGUAGCGGUGAAAUGCGUAGAUAUCUGGAGGAAUACCGGUGGCGAAGGCGGCAUCCUGGACCGACAUUGACGCUGAACGGCGAAAGCUAGGGGAGCAAACGGG